rnacentral:rRNA from 1 species
CCCCAGGCGGGGUACUUAAAGCGUUAGCUACGGCGCGGAACCCGUGGAAUGGACCCCACACCUAGUACCCACCGUUUACAGCGUGGACUACCAGGGUAUCUAAGCCUGUUCGCUCCCCACGCUUUCGCUCCUCAGCGUCAGGAAAGGCCCAGAGAACCGCCUUCGCCACUGGUGUUCCUCCUGAUAUCUGCGCAUUCCACCGCUCCACCAGGAAUUCCAUUCUCCCCUACCUUCCUCAAGUCAACCCGUAUCGAAAGCACGCUCAGGGUUAAGCCCCAAGAUUACACUUCCGACGCGAUCAACCACCUACGAGCCCUUUACGCCCAAUAAAUCCGGACAACGCUCGCACCCUACGUAUCACCGCGGCUGCUGGCGCGUAGUUAGCCGGUGCUUCUUUACCCAUUACCGUCACUCACGCUUCGUCACAGGCGAAAGCGGUUUACAACCCGAAGGCCGUCAUCCCGCACGCGGCGUUGCUGCAUCAGGCUUCCGCCCAUUGUGCAAUAUUCCCCACUGCUGCCUCCCGUANGAGUCUGGGCCGUAUCUCA